rnacentral:rRNA from 1 species
AGCAGCCGCGGUAAUUCCAGCUCCAAUAGCGUAUAUUAAAGUUGUUGCAGUUAAAAAGCUCGUAGUUGAAUUUCGGAGUUUAUCGGUUGGUCGGGCUUCACUGUCCGCACUGGCCUGAUGGAUUCCUACCUUCUGAAUAACCAGCAUGCUAUUAAUUUAGUGCGUUGGGGAAGCAGAGCUAUUACCUUGAAAAAAUUAGAGUGCUUAAAGCAGGCUUAUGCUUGAAUAGAUUAGCAUGGAAUAAUAAAAUAGGACGGCUUGGUUCUAUUUUGUUGGUUUCUAGGAUCACCGUAAUGAUUAAUAGGGAUAGUUGGGGGCAUUAGUAUUCAAUUGUCAGAGGUGAAAUUCUUGGAUUUAUUGAAGACUAACUUCUGCGAAAGCAUUUGCCAAGGAUGUUUUCAUUAAUCAAGAACGAAAGUUAGGGGAUCGAAGACGAUCAAAUACCGUCGUAGUCUUAAACCAUAAACUAUAGCCGACUAGGGAUCGGACGAUGUUAAUUUUUAAUGACUCGUUCGCGUAC